rnacentral:sRNA from 1 species
AAGUACCGGAUGAUAGAUAUGCUAGGACCGUAAGGAGGAGAGUUCCCGCGACGUUGAGGGUUGUCAGGUUCUGUUCUGUUUGGUUUGGGUUGAGGGACAAGGCACCUUGGUGUUAGUCAACAGUGUGCUCUGGAUAAAUCCAUACCAGGUAAUCUGUCUGCUCUCGCUUGUUGAACGUUCUCCUGCAACGGCAGGAUUUUUAUGCUCGGUUAUGAGCGGCUUGGAGAGUGGGAUGGAGAGUUAGACAUGUGCACAGCCUGGCCAGCGGGUUAGUUAUUUAAAUAUGUGGAGAAAGCGGGAGGUCAGCGCUUUCAUCCUAUUAGAUAUAUUUAUUCGGCUCUAGGAUAUUAUAUCUGAAAUAACGAUGAAGGAAGUGAGGAGAUGUUGCACCAAUUUCCCUUUGUGCAAGCAGCCAAGUUUCCUGUCGAGGUAAUGCGCUUUACUGGCUAAAAGCGCUCCGGUUAUAGCUAAAAGGAAUUGUUUAGUGAGGAAAGACUCCGAAACAGGGAGGAUAAGCAUUGUUGGUGAUUGAGUGAACACCGUCACCCGUCACCAAGGCUUACAGAGUUUUCGGAGAACUGAAGGUGGCAUGAGGAUCCGCUGUUGACCCCUUUAAUUGAAACCCGUGAAUGGGACAAAAACAGUUCCAUUCCGGCCUAUAUUUCCUGCGGGCUUAGUGACAUGUUUUGGAGUCUUCGGUUUAUUGGCUGUGGGUACGUUGUCCGCAGAGUGUCGAAGAAUACCCACACCAGCGCUGACGGGAGGGGGUCGUGAUAGGGCUUUGACAAGGGAUGCACUUCACUUCUUGAUUUUAAAGUGACAGCUUGUGCGAUGGGAAAUGUGGAUAUAUGGAUAUACCAACACCUUUUGCUGGGAAUGAUUUCGUUUUGCAAGUCAUAAUUUAGGUCUACUCAUUUGCUCUAUAUCUAACUACAUUACAUUUAUCUAGAUUGAGACAAUUGGCACAUUACUCUCCCCUGUCGCUCACCACCCACCCGAUCGAACAAUCAAAUAAAUGUACAGUAUAUGUGGUUCCUGAACUGCAUUCUCGCCGCAAUGAGAUCCUUCGCUAAUAUUCCCCCAGGGGUAGAGUACGGCUUCUACAGUGUUUCCGAAACACGUGCUGGAAAAGGUUUCUAUAAUCGCAAUUAGCCAUUUGUCCCCAGAUACAACUGAGGGUCCAUACCGUAUACCAUCUAUAUAAUCAAGCCCUGG